GGAUGUGAGGGCGAUCUGGCUGCGACAUCUGUCACCCCACUGAUCGCCAGGGUGGAUUCGGCUGAUCUGGCUGGCCAGGCAGGUGUCCCCUUCCUCCCUCACCACUCCAUGUACGUCCCUCCCGAAGCUGCGCGCUCGGUCGAAGAGGACGACCACCCCCGAUAGAGGAGGACCGUUUCCUCGGUCAAGGGUAUACGAGUAGCUGCGCUCCCCUGCUAGAACCUCCAAACAAGCUCUCAAGGAAUGCCAAGUAUUAACUUUGUGCACAUAUCUUUAUUUGUAUUUGAGAUUAUGUCCCAAGGACAGACUCUC
rnacentral:snRNA from 1 species